rnacentral:rRNA from 1 species
UAACGCGUGGGAAUCUCCCUAAGAGUGGGGAAUAACGAUGGGAAACUGUCGCUAAUACCGCAUACCCCCUUAGGGGGAAAGAUUUAUCGCUGAUAGAUGAGCCCGCGUACGAUUAGCUAGUUGGUGAGGUAAUGGCUCCCCAAGGCUACGAUCGUUAGCUGGUCUGAGAGGAUGAUCAGCCACACUGGGACUGUGACACGGCCCAGACUCCUACGGGAGGCAGCAGUGGGGAAUAUUGGACAAUGGGCGAAAGCCUGAUCCAGCAAUGCCGCGUGAGUGAUGAAGGCCUUAGGGUUGU